rnacentral:rRNA from 1 species
UACGGGGGGGGCGAGCGUUAUUCGGAUAGACUGGGCGUAAAGGGUAUGUAGGCGGUUAAAUUAAAUAAUACUGAAUAAAAUCCCAAAGCUCAACUUUGGAAAAAUUUAUUAUUUAUUUUAACUAGAGUAUGGGAGAGGAUAGUAGAAUUUUUAAUGUAGGGAUGAAAUAUGAAGAUAUUAGAAGGAAUACCACGAGCGAAGGCAACUAUCUGGACCAAUACUGACGCUGAGGUACGAAAGUAUGGGGAGCAAACAGG